rnacentral:rRNA from 1 species
CAACAGGGAUUGCCUUAGUAACUGCGAGUGAAGCGGCAAAAGCUCAAAUUUGAAAUCUGGCGCCUUUGGCGUCCGAGUUGUAAUUUGGAGGGGCAUCUUCGGAGGUGGCGCCGUCCCAAGUUCCUUGGAACAGGACGUCAUAGAGGGUGAGAAUCCCGUGCCUGGGUGGCUGCCCAUCUCCAUGUGAAGUGUCUCCGACGAGUCGAGUUGUUUGGGAAUGCAGCUCAAAAUGGGAGGUAAAUUUCUUCUAAAGCUAAAUAUUGGCGAGAGACCGAUAGCGCACAAGUAGAGUGAUCGAAAGAUGAAAAGCACUUUGAAAAGAGAGUUAAAAAGUACGUGAAAUUGUUGAAAGGGAAGCGCUUGAGAUCAGACUCGACCGCUGGUGAUCAGCCGUGCUUCUGUGCGGUGCACUUGCCAGUGGUCGGGCCAGCAUCGGUUCUGACGGCGGGAUAAAAGGUCGGGGAAUGUGGCUCCCUCCGGGGAGUGUUAUAGCCCCGGUCACAAUGCCGCCAGUUGGGACCGAGGACCGCGCUUCGGCUAGGAUGCUGGCGUAAUGGUCUUAAGCGACCCGUCUUGAAACACGGACCAAGGAGUCUAACAUCUAUGCGAGUGUUCGGGUGGAAAACCCUUGCGCGUAAUGAAAGUGAACGGAGGUGGGAACCCCUCGGGGUGCACCAUCGACCGAUCCUGAUGUCUUCGGAAGGAUUUGAGUAAGAGCAUAGCUGUUGGGACCCGAAAGAUGGUGAACUAUGCCUGGAUAGGGUGAAGCCAGAGGAAACUCUGGUGGAGGCUCGCAGCGGUUCUGACGUGCAAAUCGAUCGUCAAAUUUGGGUAUAGGGG